AACAGAAUUAAAUGUUAGGGGUGAAACGAUAUACAGCGGUAUCAGUAGAACCACGGUAUUUUGCCUAUGAUUCGGUAUACCGUAAUGCAAUCCAAAAAUUUGGUAUUUUCGGUUUUGGUACCGUCAUUUUG